UCUCUACUACUCCUUAAGUUAUCAGUGUAGGCGUCCACAAUUUUGGUUCUGCCAUCGCCGAUCCGCCCCUUCCUCUCCAUCCCGCGCAGGCAACACCGGCGAGAUUGCCGCGGAUCCCUCGCCCUCCUCCCCUUCUGCUCCCCGCCAUCAACGCCGAUGCCAUGCUCCUCUCUCCUCCCGACCUAUCCCUCCCUCCCUCCCACGCCACGCAGCGCCCCUGUCGAUAUGCCGCCCUGCAUCCUCCUCUCCUCUCGAUCCAUCUGCCAUCCCAUCGCCGCUCUGCCCGUUGCCCCUUGCUUCCUCUUCGGCUCUUCAUCCCCCUAGAUCCGCCGCCCGUGCUUCCUCCUCACUUCGUCCCGUCCCCACUCCAUCCCGUCGCCCUGCCUCCCCGCGUCUGCGCCUGUCUUCGGCCUCCGGAGCCAUAUCCGCGUUGGCCUCCACCUACGCACCUGCCUCUGGCCUUAAGAGCUCCUCCUGUGUCUGCCUUUAGAGAUCUGCUACCCCUACGUUUCAUGUGUUGGCCACCACCUUCUUCUGCUGCGCAGGAUGAGCUGUUCGGGGAGCACCCAGGACCCAUCACGACGAGCUCCUCCUCUUCUUCCCAAAAGGUACUGGGCUCUCCUCCCCCAAUCCAUUUUGUUGAGCCACUUCCCUAGCUUCACGAUCUAUUGUUUCUACCUCCGGCAAAAGGUGAGUUCUUGGCUGCCUUUUCCCCCCGCCCCCUGCCUUUUCAACCGAGGUUCUUCUCAUGGGUAGCUUGAUUCAGUCGGUGAAUUGAGCUUCCGGCUUCGAUAGGAGACUCAGAGCACUCACGGCUGCUUUGUUGUUUAAUCACACCGCCAAUCGUGUUCUGAAGAGAACACAUGGAAAGCAUACCAACUCAAAUCUUGAAACUUCUAUUGUAAAUACUUAUUUUUGAAGAUCUCAGGUGAGCUGUGUACAGGUAAUUUGUUUUUGAUUUUGAUUAUUUUCAAUCUUAAGCGAAGUACUUAUCAAGGGGAUGGUACAAAUUUGGGUCCCAUGUACCUAGAUGCAUGGAUGCGAACACUGUGACUUGUAUAGUUCGUGGCAUCAGUAUGAGGUGGUGGUGUACGGUGGUUUUCUUUCAGCACUGAUUAUGCUCUAGGUAGUCUAACAUACCUGUGUACUUCAAACAGCUAAUCCAUUUUAGCCAUCUGUUAUGAUGUGAUGGGCAAGACGUUUUGCUACAUUAUUCAACUAAGUUGCAUCUUUGCACAUCUGACAAUUUAUUCAGUACUGAAUUAUUCUGCUAUCAUCAUUAGUCAUGACGUUUUGAGACUUCCUCUCUGUGAGCUUCUUACUGGUAUGGUGCCUUAUACUCAUCUGAGAGCAGAAGCACAUGUAUUUAAUUGUUCUUUUAUGUUCUUUGUUGGUUGGUUAAAGUGUUCUAUUUUUAAUGCAAUUUUGAUGUAAAAGUUCAUCUAAUUGAUUACGAGCGGCAAUCAUUCUAUAAUAUAGUUAUUCCAUGAUGCCUAGCAGAAAAGGUUACCAUAAUUUCUUUGCCAUUCAGCUGCAGUUAGAAAUUUAAUUAUUGUGGCUAUUACAACCAGUCUUAUUCCAGUAUGUUGAAAUUUGAUUUACUAUGGAACUUUAAAAAUAUUUAGAUUCAGGUGUAUUUUACUUGGGUUUAUGCAUUUAUUAGUUCUAUACAUAUGUUCAUAUUCACCGUAUUUAACAUGACAAAUCCAUUUUUUCUCUAGAAGUGACCAUUUGCCAUAUUUUUUUAGGCACACACUGUUAUUGAAAUGACUUAUACUGAACAACAACUUACAACAGCAAUUGUUUCUCAAGCAUCGCCACUGGCGGAGUACGAACUGAAAAAAUAUGAGAGGAGCAAUAUCCUUGACACUGCAACAGCAAUUUGGUACUGCAACAGCAAUGAGAGGAGCAAUAUCCUUGACACCUUAAUUUUGUAUUGCCUUACAAAGUAUUUUUUAGCUGUCGCUUGCCAAGUAUAGGUCGUAUUGUGGGUAGUCACACCAAAACUAAAACUAAUGGCAAUUGGUUUGCAAUAGGCAGUGCUCUUUCUGUUAGCUCUGGAUGUUAGGGCAAUGAACAAACACGUUGAGUAUGAUAGUGAUGCUAAAAUUAUUGCAAUCGGUUGAAGCCCUACCAUGUGGCAACCAUUGAUCCAUGCCCAAAAUGUACCUGCCACUGGUGUUCCUGUGCCAACACUCGAUCAACAAUUCAACAUGCAAGUAGAAAUGAAGCCUAGAGCCAAAUGAUGCGAGAGGAGUAUGGUCUAGACACGAGCCAGUUCACAUAAACCCUUCAGACCCAAGCAGGUACCAGCAGAAUGGCACGCCAGCUAAAGAAAGGAGUCAAUGCACUAUAAUGCGAAGAAUUCUUCAUGACAUCCAAUGAGAUAAUGAUUUUCUUGAAUGGGCUAGCUCAAGUUGUGCGGUUUAACACUGCAGGUAUGCACGAGCAUUACUAUAUAUCGAUACUAUGAUUCUAUGAAACUUGUAAGGUUCUUGCUCCAGCAUAAAUAAACCAGUGCCACUGCGAACAGCCUCAUCAAUGCUAAUGGGAUGAAUGCCGCACUGAUAUUGCCGUAAUUAGCAAGAUUUAAAAUAACCUUGUAGGAUGGGAUAUCUAAUCUACUGGCAGGUGGCAGCAGCAUCAAUAAUACGCUGAUUAGCCUGUAACACAGAAGAUCGUUUAGAACACCGAUGAUGUUGGUCAGGUAAAUUUUCAGUUAGGACACCCAUUUGAUGUAACAACAACCAGACGAUACUGGAGGCAGGCAAACCAGCUUCUUACUGGGCUACUCUUGUUACAGCUUCUUACUGGGCUACUCGUUACAACCGAUGAUUUAGCCAUGGAACAUUAACUAACUUACUAGGAUGUGGAGAAAUAUAAAUAUUUACACACGGAAAGCUAUACCUGUACCAACACAGCACCAGCAGCAUCACCAACAAGGGCGAGGCCGAAUUAGUUACCUCUAGGAAGUUCUUCAUAAAUUUCUUGUCCAGUGGGCUACUCUUGUUGGGGUUCGGCCUCGCCCUUGUUGCCACAAGCACCUGGCUGCUUCUGGACCAGACACUUCCUUGGUGUACCCAUCCUAAUUAAUAAGGAGAUGUCUUUGCUACCAUUCAACAUAAAAAAAGAAAACUCACUACACUAAGCUAACAAAGGAUUUGAUAUCUUUUAUCAUGUUGUUUUCUAAUAUUUGUGAUAUAUGCUAUUUAAUCUUGUAUGGUCUAAUAGAGACGUAUAGAGUGGGUUUUUAUUCACAUAUUUGUGAUAUAUGCUAUUUAAUCCUUUUCAUUUUCAUAUUGUGUGUCUCUUUAUAAUGAUGUUUUUAUCUCUACUAUAAGAUUAAUGGCACUGGACUUAAUCAAAGUAUAGAGAACUGAAACUCAUAGCAGUAGCACUGGCACUGGCAUUGACACACUUAAUCACUUCACAGUUCACAAUGUUUAUUUUUGCUUGAAGGUGGUCUGUUUUUUGCCAAGCAUGCAUGCACCUUGUUAGUUGUGGUUGUGGGCAGGCAGGCAGACAAUGCGUUCUGCAAGCAAUCCAUCUUUUUAUCUCCAUGCAGACUGAAACAAGCCUUUGCUUGCACCGAAAUUCUUCCAAGAUCCUUGCUAACCGGCAGUUAGCUCAGAGGUCGCAGGUGAGGAAGUUGCAGUACAUCUCCGAGCCCAAGCGCAACUGUCACAACACUGCAGGGUUCCGCAAAUGUUGGAAAAUAUGCAUUUAUCAGUGCAAUGCUAAGAACAAUGGCGUACAAGGACCCGGUGGCAGCGGCAGCUCAAAAAUACAAGCCAAUACAGUCUGCUGUUCCUAGAACAACCCUUGGCCCUAUUCAAAUUGAAGCAUUUUUAGGCGGAGGGAACCUGUGUUUGAUUGAAUUCUACACCAGUUCUUGGAAGAGAAAGCCUCACCAAGUCAUCAUCUCCAGGAACGAUGUUAGCGAAAGUCAAUUUAAUCUGGUGCUGAACAUUGAGUUGCAACAAAUCAUCGAUGGAGACUGAGUCACCGCAGCUAGAAACCACUAUCUCAAGGUGCUGAACAUUGAGUUGCAACAAAUCAUUGAUGGAGACCGAGUCACUGCAGCCAGAAACCAUUGUCUCAAUUUGAGGAGAUUUUUCAUCUAUGUUUGUUAGAAGGCAUAAUGCAUAUUUAUCUCUUGUAUUCGAACAUUUGGCAAUUAAGAAAUAGAAGAUUACUUCCCCAAUAUCCCUUCUUCCUAAUCUCACCUUUCACGGCUUCUGGGGAACAAUCACUUGCUAUUACUGACUGACAUGUCCACUCCUCAUAUGUGAGAUAUUGGGGUUGAUAUAUAUGUUGUUCGUUUCCAUGUAA